ACACACACACACACACACACACACACACACACACACAAAGAUCUGCACAUACACAAAGAUACGCACACCUGUUAUUACUGCGCAGUUUCAUUACAGUUAGCCUGUUUUCUUUUGAGUUUACAGUGUGAUUACCCGAGUAUUUCUCAUGUCAUUACAGAGUAAAUAUAUACAGUAAAUAUGCUUUUUUUCCCACAGGAAACGUAGUAAUUAUACAGAGUAAAUACUUGUAAACAUCUGGUAAUUUCACUGUAUUUGCGUACAGUUACAUGAGUAAGGACCAGGCUUCAUGUGAGUUUGACUCCGGGCUAAUUUACCUGUAUUUAAGCUGUAAUCACACCCACAACUGUAAACUCAGAUAACUCACUUCCUGUUGUUUCACAAUAAAAGUCUUCUUCUACUGAACAGUCAGAGGCCUUUAUUGUGAAAAGUGUUCAUUAAAAAACAAUAGUCCAUAUCUCUCUCUCUCUCUCUCACUCACUCACUCACACACACACACACACACACACACACACACACACACACACACACACACACACACACACAGCCUUCUUGAUGAUUAGCCAGGAGAGAACAUCCCAGCCUGCCCUCUGAUAUCAGCGCCCCCUUUUGUUUAAGCAGUGUAACUGCGAUCACUGACGAGCAAGUUGGCUGUUUGGAGCUUUGUCGCAUUUAUGUGUGCGUUGUUGGCCAAUAAUGCUAACAAUGAUAAUAAUGAUAAUGAAAUAUAUGUUUGACCUAAAUGCCCAAACCGACCUCGGUAUUGUUGAUAUCUGACGUGUUAACAAAACAAGUGUGGGAAAUGAGGCAGCAUUGCCCCGCCCUCACAGAGCCCAGGUGUUUGAGGUGUUUUACAGGUAAAAUUAAAAUUCUUUUCUGGCUAUUACAGGAAUAUAAAGCAUGUGAGGCUGAAAUCAGAAUGUGGACUCGAGUCGGUUAAAUGUCCAGCACACAGGUGAAGAACUGAAGACGCGGCGGGGCUUCACACAGCACCGUUACCGGACCCAGGGGAGGGGCGGGUGUACAGUAGUCGGCAUUAGUGCGUCGUGGUCGUGCGCCCUCGGCUUCAGCAGUCACGUGGGGGGCUGAUAUCGGGGAGGGAGGGGGGCCUUUAGUAUUGUAGUGUUUCUGUAUUAUAGCUCUGUCUGAACAUUGUUAGGUUUGAUCGCUUUUAUCACUGUGGGGGAAAAGUUGAUCCAAGUUUUUAUUCUCGCUCUUUGUUAUGUUUGGUUUCCCUUCGCGAAGGCGAAGACGGACGCCAUCCAUCGUCUCUGUAACCUCUUUCUGUCUCCUCGUGAUGUGAAAGGCUUUUUGUGAUCAAGUUCAUGGCAGGAAAUUAAAGUUGUUACAACCUGAAAACGUCUUGUCAUUCUCCACACUUAUCCCAAACACCAGACGCACUCGUGGCCAUCCAGUGUCAUUCUAGGACGGUGAACAUGGCUCAUGUCUUUCCUGGUAAAUCACCAUGGUAACUGAUGCUAAAGACCUAUCCUGUGAAGAAGGGGUAAAUCUGUUAUUUUCUCUGCCCUGUUGGCCCUGACGUUAGAUCUGCACUCGCACUCAUCCUCAUUUCAAACACCUGAAGCACCUUCAGGCUGAUGAUCUGAAGAAACCUGCAACCAGGAGCUCUUUGAUGUGGACACACCUGUCUGUGAUAAACAUGUGACCCAGAGUUUACCUUUAUUCAAUUCAGUUUUAUUUAUAUAGCACAAAAUCACAGCAGCAGUCGCCUCAAGGUGCUUUAUAUUGUCAGCAGGACCUACAAUAAUACAUACAGAGAAAGACCCAGACCUUGCUCUGGGAGCUCUCACUGAGCUACAUUUACAGAGCAAAAGCCUGCAGGUGUGAAUAAUGUUCCUGACUAAACUCCAGUGCAAACACUCGUUUUUGUAAGUCAUGACGCGCACCUCACGCCGCAGCGUGGAGCUGCACAGGCAGGACAUCUACUGCAGAAAGUGACUUGGCUCAUACACAUCAGCCUUUCAGCUUUCAGCCCGACUGUGUUUCAGAGGUGUCUUUGGGCAGACAGUGCUGUGGCUCUGGUUUGAAGGAAACACCGGGCAGAAUGUUAAAGCUGUGUUUUGUAGAGUCAGUACAGGGUUGAGGUUAGUCUCUGUGGGGUUUCUCCAUGGCUGACCUCUGGUCAGUGAUGUCCAUGUGUGAUGUGCCUCUGCCUGUCGCUGACACAGACGUGUGCAAGUUUACUGUGAAGCAUCUCUGUUGGAAAGGCUGUCAGCUGUGUGGGGGGGGCCCUUGUGGCAAGAGAGCACAGUUGCACUAUUGAGCACAUGUUCCAGUGAUCAGAGUUGGAGCUAGCACAUAGCAAGAGCCGCCUGGCAGACUGACUCUGCAGGGGAUGUCUACACACGGUGUGAGUUGUGUGCGUCGCUAAAGAACUACCACACACCCCUCACCACUCUGUAAGCCUGCGGUUGCAUGACUGUGUUGCUGUACUGUGCUGUUAAGCUGAGGAAUCACAGUAAAGACGGUAUAACCUU